UUUUGGAUAAAAUAAUAUUAAUAACACAUGUUUAAUAACAAUAGCUAAUAACCCAAAAUAAAUCAGUAAAUUAAAUCUUUACCAGCAAAAAUACAAAACAGACAAGAAUAAGGAAAACCAUUUUUCUAAAGUAAUUUAUUUAAAACUAUGUCGUCAUAGCCAAGGGGUCGCCUUAACCCGCCUUAGGCCGCCUUGACUCUUCUCGACCCUGCCAGGCCCACCUAGGGCAGCAAAAGGGGCCCCAUGACCCACCUAGGGCCGCCACAGGGCUGCCUUUACACGCCUUGACUCUCCUAGGCCCGUCUAAGGCCACCUUAACUCGUCUAGGGACGCCAAGAGGCCGCCUUGACCUUCCUAGGGCCGCCAAGGGGCCACCAUGACACGCCUAGGGCCGCAAAGGGGACGUCAUGACCCAUCGAGGGACUGCCUUUACACGCCUAGGGUUGUUUUGACCUCCCUUGGCCCACCAUGACCCGCCUAUGGCCGCCAAAGGGCUGCCUAGGGCCGCCAUGGGGCCACCUUGACCCGUAUUGGAACGCCUUGGCCGUCUUGACACGCCUUAGGCCGCCGUGAUCCGCCUUGACCCGCCUUGGGCCGCCUCGACCCGCCUUGAACUGCCUUGGGCCGCCUUUACCCUCCUAGACUCGCCUAGGCCCGCCUUAACUCUCCUAGACCCGCCUAGGCCCAUCAAAGGGCUGCCUUUACACACCUUAAUCCUCUUAGCCCGCCUAGGGCCACCUUGGCCCGUCAAGGGGCUGCCUUUACACGCCUUAACCCGUCUUGGCCCGCCUUAGGCCGCCUUGACCAUCCUCAGCCUUUAUAGGCCCACCUAAGGCAGCUAAUGGGAGCCAUGACCCACCUAGAGCCGCCAAUGGGCUGCCUUUACUCGCCUAUGACCUCUAAUGGGACGUCUUGACUCGCCAAGGGGCUGCCUUUACACGCCUAAGUCAGUUUUGACCUCCCUGGGCCCGCCAUGACCCACCUAGGGCCGCUAUGAGGCUACCUUGACCCGUCUAGGACCGCCNNNNNNNNNNNNNNNNNNNNNNNNNNNNNNNNNNNNNNNNNNNNNNNNNNNNNNNNNNNNNNNNNNNNNNNNNNNNNNNNNNGAGCCACCAAGGGGCUGCCUUUACACGCCUUGACCCGUCUAGGGCCGCCAAGGGGCCGCCUUGACACGCCUAGGGCUGCCAAGGGGACGUCUUGACCCGCCAAGGGGCUGCCUUUACACACCUAGGGCUAUUUUGACCUCUCUAGUGCCCGCGAUGACCCGCCUAGGGCUGCCUAUGUUCGCCAUGGGGCCACCUUGACCUGCAUUGGCCCAUCUUGGGCCGUUUUGACCCGCAUUGACCCUCCUUGGCUCUUCUAGGCCCACCUAGGGCAGUCAAGCGGGCGCCUUAACCCGCCUUAGACCGCCUUGGGCCGCCUUGACCCUCCUAGACCCGCCUAAGGCCACCAAGAAGCUGCCAUUACUCGCCAAGGGGUCGCCAUGACCCUCUUUGGCCCGUCUAGGGCCUCCUUAACCCGCCUUAGAUCGCCUUGACCCUGGGACGCCUUGACCCUGGGACGCCUUGGGCCGCCUUGACUCUCAUCGGCCCUACUAGGCCCACCUAGGGCAGGAAAGGGGGCGCUAUGACCCACCUAGGGCCGCCAAGGGGUGGCCUUGACCCGUUUAGGGGCUGUCUUGACCCUCCUAGACCCGCCUAGGGCCGCCUUGAUCCUCCUAGACUUGCCUAGGGCCACCAAGAAGUCUCCAUGUCUCGCCAAGGGGUUGCCAUUACACUCCUAGGCCCGUCUAGGGUCACCAAGGGGCCGUCUUAACCCGCCUUAGGCCGCCUUGACCCAUCUUGGCCCGCCUCGGCCCCAUGGGCCGCCUUGACCCUUGUCGGUUCUGCUAAGCCCACCUAGGGCAGCCAAGGGGCGCCAUGACCCACCUAGGACCGCCAAGGGGCUACCUUUACACGGCAAAGGCCACCAAGGAGCCGUCUUGACCCGCUAAGGGGCUAUCUUUACACGCCUAGGGCCGCUUUGACCUCCCUAAGCUAUUGAAAUUGCUGUUUUAAUUGGAAUUGAGUGACUUUCCAAGAUUUCGUUCUUUCAAUUCUUUUCAUAUUGACACCGGGAACUUUAGUUUUAAAAGAAAAUGAGGUAUUGCCCCUCAUUUCAAAUUUCACUAAAUUCGAGCCAAAAUCAUUUGCUAUAGCACACGAGUUUCCAGCCAGUUUCACUUUUUUUAGGACUACGGCUUUUUUCGUUCGGGUGUGCUUAUAGACACCUCCUAACACAUAUUGAACCAUUCUAGCUUCAAAAAUCCAUGUCUUUUUAUAAUUUACUCGUGAUCGGGCCUAAAUAACUCACGUCUGCCGUGUUUUGUAAAGCUGUUGAAAUUGUUGUUUUAAUUGGUAUUGAGUGACUUUUUAAGAUUUUUUUCUCUUCAAUUCUUCUCAUAAUGACAUCGGAAACCUUAGUUUCAAAAGAAAAUGAGGUAUUGUCCCUCGUUUCAAGUUUUACGAGUUUCUGCCCAGUUUCACUUUUUUUAGGCCUUCAGCUUUUUCCAUUCGGGUGUGCUUACAGACACCUUCUAACAUAUAGUGAACCAUUCUAGCUUCAAAAAUACAUGUUUUUUAUCAAUUUACUCGCGAUCGGGCCUAAACAAACUUACGCGUGCCGUGUGUUGUAAAGCUGUUGAAAUUGUUGUUUUAAUUGGUAUUGAGUGACUUUUUAAGAUUAUGUUCUCUUCAAUUCUUCUCAUAUUGACAUCGGAAACCUUAGUUUCAAAAGAAAAUGAGGUAUUAUCCCUCAUUUCAAGUUUCACCCAUUUCAAGCCAAAAGGUUUUGCUAUAGCACACGAGUUUCUGCCCAGUUUUACAUUUUCUGGGCUUCCAUCUGUUUCUAUUGGGGUGUGCUUACAGACACCUGCUAACAUAUAGUGAACCAUUCUAGCUUUAAAAAUCCGUGUCUUUUAUCAAUUUAAUCACGAUCGAGCCUAAAUAACAUUGUACGGUUGAGAUGUACAUUGUAGCUUCAAAAAUCCGUGUCUUUUAUAGGAUGAAACUUUGUACGAAUGAUCUACACAGUGUGUUCUAAACAUUGUACGGUUGAGAUGUGGAAAUGCGACCUGAAAGUGAGCGAAAUAUGGAGGUCCACACUUUAAUUUCAAAACGGGACACUGCU
rnacentral:lncRNA from 1 species